rnacentral:rRNA from 1 species
AUUGAACGCUGGCGGCAUGCUUUACACAUGCAAGUCGAACGGCAGCGCGGGGGCAACCCUGGCGGGCGAGUGGCGAACGGGUGAGUAAUGCAUCGGAACGUAUCCUGUAAUGGGGGAGUAACGUAGCGAAAGUUACGCUAAUACCGCAUACGCUCGAGAGAGGAAAGUGGGGGAGUCGCAAAGACCUCACGUUAUAGGAGCGGCCGAUGUCCGAUUAGCUAGUUGGUGGGGUAAAGGCCCUACCAAGGACGACGAUCGGUAGCUGGUCUGAGAGGAUGAUCAGCCACACUGGGACUGAGACACGGCCCAGACUCCUACGGGAGGCAGCAGUGGGGAAUUUUGGACAAUGGGCGAAAGCCUGAUCCAGCCAUGCCGCGUGCGGGAAGAAGGCCUUCGGUUGUAAACCG